GCCGGUGGCCUAAAUGGUUAGAGCUUCCGCUUCGGAUGUGGGAGGUCGCUGGAUCGAACUCCGGUAGAGUCAUACAGAGACU